rnacentral:misc_RNA from 1 species
GGGAGUGAUGACAGUCAGGCUGAUGAAGUUUAUGUUUACCGUUUUGUUGCAGGUCCAAGAAGAGAUGGCCCUCCUUCUGUCCUUACUCUUUCAGGUUUACAAUGUAGGUAUCCCCUUUAUUUUUCUCUCCCUAUCUCUAUCUCCCUCUCUCUCUUUCAAACACACACACAUAAGUAAGUGAGUCAAUAGGGCUAUCCCCUUUACUACCCACUGUUUGCCUUUGUUCCUGUGGCUGGUUGAGUGAGACUAUUAUCCUGGAAACCAUUACUACCAAUGACCGUAGUGCAAGUUAAUUUAUGUUGGGAAGGAGUGUAAAGAACUAGACUCAUGAUUGUGCAGCAGCCAGUAGGCACAUGGUUGCACCUGGCAGUGACUAAAAUUAUGGAAAUGAUUAUUAAACUGCAUUUCAAAAAUGAAUAAUUUUCUGCGGGUAAGCAUUUCUUUUUGAUCUGGAAAGUUGGAGAAUAUGGUCAGCUCAUAUGAUAAAAUUUAAGGGGCUUCAUCAGCUCACAUCAAAAUUCAAUUGCCAAAGAACUUGAUGCCUAAUAGCUAAAUAGUUAUCUCACAUUGCAUAUUUAUUUUAGUUUAUGGUUUGGAUCUUAAUUCUUUUAUAGAAUGCUAUGAGAUUGCAUAUCUGAUAGGCUGGCAACCACACCUAAAGAAACUACUGAUGUUAUAACAGAUAUUUUACCUCUUUGUUGGCUGCCACAUACACUCGAGAAACAGCAGAUACAAAAGUACCCAAAAAUCUAGCAAGAAUAACUUAAACCUCAGAGUAAAAGGAAUAUAAUAAGAUGGGCAAGACAUGUAAAUUUAUUUAAAAAAUAAUAAAAAGAAGAUCAGCACGCAGAUAACAUAAAAUGAAAAAUAUGCAAAGGAAAAACCUCACCUUAAAAAACCACAGAUAUGGCAGCAGCUCAUCAAACACAGAGACAAUAAGGAACAAACAAUGCCAAUGAAUUCAUGAAGGAAUAAAUAGAAUUUAAGCUGAUAAUAACCACAAAAACAAAUAACAAUCAAAUGAAAAAAAUAUGGAUAAUUCAAAAAGAAACAACAAAUAAUAGAUUAUGAGAAAUUUUGAAAGGGUAAAGAGCCUCAUCUUCAGGCCCUAAAAGCUAGUUCCUUUUAGCUUCAAGUUUUAUAGUUAAUUUCCUAAAUAUUUUUUACUGCUGCUGAUAUGCUCUGAGCCCUAUAAAUUUAUUUACUAAUUACUAUAUAUGCAAAUUCAAAAUAUGGAUUCAGAGGAGCACUAAAAAAUAGAAUAAGAUUGUAAUUUAUAAGAGAAAUAUAGACAUUGAACCAUAAAUGUUCAUAAAAAUGAUUAAAUCUGAACUCUGCACGGCAUGGAACACUUUAAACUUGGUGGACUAUUAUCAUUACACAAGCAAUUUAGUUUAAAUUCAUUUUUCUUUAACACCUCAGAAAAUUAAGUAAAAACAUGGCAUUAGUACAUGUAACAUGAAUUAGUCAAUGAAAAUAAAAUAAAGGUGAGAACUUGGAAAUAAAGGUGAGAACUUGGAUGCUUUGAACAACAUGGGUAGUGAGUCUGUGACACCAAGAAGAAGUGAGACGAAGGUCAAGGCUUGGACCUGGCAAGCACCUCUGCAGACCAGCUCAAGACAGAAUGCAGACCCGAUGAAGCCCAGAGCAGAGUGUUGAACUUACCCAAUAAUAGACGAUGCCCAACUCAAGACUAUUUGUCCCAAAAAUUAAUGAAAGAAAAUAAAACAACCAUGAUAAAAUGCUCAUCUAAUUGCAAAUGAAAAGUGCACAAUUUUGACAACUUAUAAGUCUCUUUAGAAGUACAAAGUACAUGCUACAUUUGCAUGCAGAAUGGACAGAAGAUCUGUUUUCGUUCUUAGAAUGUCACAUUGAACAGCACAGAAGAAUUUGAAAUAGGAAUCAUCUCGCUCUUGGCGAUGGCAUAUACUGUAUCACAAUAAAUCGCACCAAUUUUCCUUCUCUUUGUUAUCAGCAACACGUAAUAGGGUCCCAAAAAUUUAAUGAAACCAAAAUUGACCAAAGAAGAAUUCAUGAGCUCUAUAAUGAAAUGGAUGCAAGAGAUUAGAUAGAACAAUAUCGUAUACAGACCAACUAUUGUAUAGCAAGUAGUUACAAAUUUAAGUCCGCCAGUUGAUUUAUUCCCUUCAUGUAUUCGCCUUAGCAGGUCACAACAUUCACUUUCUGAGUAGGUUGUAGAAUCUUCAAGAAUAUAUAGUUCAGAUGGUUCUAACCGAUCAAUCUUUAAAACCCUCCAAAAGGUCCUGUUCUUGUCUCUUCCUAUCAUAUAAAAAUUCGAGCGCGUUUCGUAGAGUCGGAAUUUCUGCAAGUAGCUUGAAUUCGGGUCGGGUUUACCGACGGACCAAUUAGUUUCCAUGUCCAUACGGAUCUAACCUUCCUCCCCGAGCACUCGUCUGGCCCGGGUCAACUCUCCGCUGAAACCAGAACCUCUACUUCUCAAAUCUAAACACACACAUACACACUAUAUUACACGCAUAUUUCUAUACAUCUCUAUAGCUUUGUUCAUAUUCAAGUACACAUACAAAACUAAACACACAAUGACAAUACACAGAGAAGAAAAAAAGCUUAAAAAAGAUUAAAAAAAAUACAGAAACUAAGAGUUGUGAUCUUGGAGAAGGAAGACGUUCGUGGACCGCGAAGCAAACCAGAGAAUGAGCAAAAACGUAGCGUUUCGGAAGGAGAGAGCAGAUCGAUGAGGACAAGAGAUGCAGAGGCCAAAGAGAGCGCGCGCGAGAGAGAGAGGCUGCAGAUGCCGCAACCACA